rnacentral:misc_RNA from 1 species
UACGUAGGUGGCAAGCGUUGUCCGGCAUUAUUGGGCGUAAAGCGAGCGCAGGCGGUCUCUUAAGUCUGAUGUGAAAGCCCCCGGCUCAACCGGGGAGGGUCAUCGGAAACUGGGAGACUUGAGUACAGAAGAGGAGAGUGGAAUUCCACGUGUAGCGGUGAAAUGCGUAGAUAUGUGGAGGAGCACCAGUGGCGAAGGCGACUCGCUGGUCUGUAACUGACGCUGAGGCGCGAAAGCGUGGGGAGCAAACAGG